rnacentral:rRNA from 1 species
GUGUCAGCCGCCGCGGUAAAACCAGCACCUCAAGUGGUCAGGAGGAUUAUUGGGCCUAAAGCAUCCGUAGCCGGCUAUGUUAGUUUUCGGUUAAAUCCACGUGCUCAACACAAGGGCUGUCGAGAAUACUGCAUAGCUAGGGAGUGGGAGAGGUAGACGGUACUCGAUAGGAAGGGGUAAAAUCCUUUGAUCUAUUGAUGACCACCAGUGGCGAAGGCGGUCUACCAGAACACGUCCGACGGUGAGGGAUGAAAGCUGGGGGAGCAAACCGGAUUAGAUACCCGGGUAGUCCCAGCCGUAAACUAUGCAAACUCAGUGAUGCAUUGGCUUGUGGCCAGUGCAGUGCCGCAGAGAAGUCGUUAAGUUUGCCGCCUGGGAAGUACGUACGCAAGUAUGAAACUUAAAGGAAUUGGCGGGGGAGCACCACAAGGGGUGAAGCCUGCGGUUCAAUUGGAGUCAACGCCAGAAAUCUUACCCGGGGAGACAGCAGAAUGAAGGUCAAGCUGAAGACUUUACCAGACAAGCUGAGAAGUGGUGCAUGGCCGUCGUCAGCUCGUGCCGUGAGAUGUCCUGUUAAGUCAGGUAACGAGCGAGAUCCCUGCCUCUAGUUGCCACCAUUACUCUCAGGAGUAGUGGGGCGAAUUAGCGGGACUGCCGCAGUUAAUGCGGAGGAAGGAGGGGGCCACGGCAGGUCAGUAUGCCCUGAAACUCUGGGGCCACACGCGGGCUGCAAUGGUAGUGACAGUGAGUUCCUAAUCCGAAAGGAGGAGGUAAUCUUCAAACGCUACCACAGUUAUGACUGAGGGCUGCAACUCGCCCUCACGAAUAUGGAAUCCCUAGUAACUGCGUGUCAUUACCGCGCGGUGAAUACGUCCCUGCUCCUUGCACCACCGCCCGUC